UACGUAGGGUGCGAGCGUUAAUCGGAAUUACUGGGCGUAAAGCGUGCGCAGGCGGCUUUGCAAGACAGAUGUGAAAUCCCCGGGCUUAACCUGGGAACUGCAUUUGUGACUGCAUGGCUGGAGUGCGGCAGAGGGGGAUGGAAUUCCGCGUGUAGCAGUGAAAUGCGUAGAUAUCGGAAGGAACACCAGUGGCGAAAGCGGCUUCCUGGUCCAGCAUCGACGUUCAGGCACGAAAGCGUGGGGAGCAAACAGG
rnacentral:rRNA from 1 species